rnacentral:lncRNA from 1 species
ACAAAAGCUUCACCUACAAAACCUUUACACUAUCUUGAUCAAGAUAGUGUGAAGCAAAAUCAAUUCAUGGUACCCAACAAAGCUUCAACCUCAAAGCUUCACCUACAAAGCUUCAACACCAAAACUUCACCUACAAAGCUUCUUUGGGCUUAACAACUUUCAUAACACAUAUAUAUGAAGGAGGAGUUUUGGGCAACCACUUA